rnacentral:lncRNA from 1 species
AAGAUACAAGGUUAAUGUCCCCAUUGGGAAAAAAAAAUGAUGCCUAAGCUUGCCCUUUGUACUCCACAUCCAUGCACACAUAUGUGUACCUGCACUCUCUACACGCCCCUUCCCCCAACAAAAGGCAAUGCAAGUUAUAAAAUCACGUUUUUUUAUUGGUUUGUCUUGUUAUACAGGGAGCCUGCUUGAAAGAGGGUUGGAAUAAAGAUAUUAGUUUGGUUCUAUCACUUUGUUGUGUGGCAUUGUUCUGGUUGUUAUUGUAGGAAUAAAACUCUUUCAGAAUCUGGUUUCUGUUGCUGUCUACUUUUGCUUUAUUCAUCCUUUCAAAGAUACUUUGAUGUCUGUAUUGACUUUCACUGCUACUCAAAAGAACAAAAUGUUAGUUUAAUUGACACCUACUGAUGACCAGAGUGAGCUUCAUACCCACUGUAAUUUUCAAAAUUCUAAAACAGGCCCACUAAGCUUUUAGCCCUCUUGUAUAUGGAGAACAAGCACAAAGAGCUCAAGUAUUAUGAACAAGUUCAUAUUGCUGAUAAAUAGUUUACCUAGUAGACUUUUCUCACUCACAGUCCUUUGAAAAUAUAUGAUAGGCCUGAUGAGUAGUUAGUAGUCUAUGUCUGAAAUAUGGAGUACUGAGAAAUAGUCAGAGAUAAGAGAGUAGCAUGUAGGUUUUGGCAUGGUAUUGGUGUGGUAGUGUAUUCAUGCAAUUCUAGUACCAAAAGGCAGGCAACAUGGCCGAGUUAUAGGCCAGCCUGGAUUGCAAAGGAAUCUCUGUUAUAAAACAAACAAACAAAAACAUCAAUGGCUACUAGCCCAUCGCCAAUAAGGACGUCUAGAGCUGUUUUUGACAGGUGUGAAAGAGCUUUGACUUUGGUUGUGUAGUAGAAGUGUAAAAACUUACACAUACACAAGAGGUUUAGAAACAGGAGGUUAGCUCAGGUCAAGGUUUGAGGAGGCAGAAAAUGGGGAUGAAGACAUUCUGUUAUAUAAAUGCCAUUAUAAAUUCAGUAAAUAGCACACAUACAAAUUAAAAUGUGAAAUUUUGAAUGAUGGUAUCAAAAACUUAGAAUAGAAGGUACACGUGAAAAUGAGCUUUCUCGUGGCAAUAACAACAGGCCCUUCUCUGUGAGCACGGCAAUGUGCACAUAGAACUUUCUGUGCCUCCUGGCCCCAGGGAGCAUCUCAAACACUUGCUCUUAGCUUCAUAAUAAACAGAUUAUUCUUUGAGUGCAGAGAAUACUUAUUUUAAAAGGAUGAGAAAGCCCAGAGGGCUUUAAUUGUAAAUUCUGAAUGUCAAAAGACUUUAAAAUUGUACUUAAAUAAUGUUAAAUCUUCCAGAAAAUAUAAUAGGUUUUUUUGUUUGCAUCUAAUUCUUGAUUAGAGUCAGGUCAACAUCUGAGCUACAGUAGCAAAAGAUAGAAAGUCAAGUGAUUGUUAGAGAGAGUUAGCUGCUGUUCCUUCUCUGAGGCUCUCAUGACAUUGUGGUUCACUGUGACAUGAAUAAGCUUGCUUCAUCUAAGAAGUUUUUGUGUUAGUAAUUCAAUUUUAUGAUCCUUGUUUUUGAGAGAAAGAGGUUGUAUUAUCUGUGAUAAUGACUUACGUCUAUUAUAUUGCUAAUGCCUUUAUUUUCUAAGUGAAAAUGAAAUAAACAGUCUGUUUUGCUUUCAUUGGGAUUUAUUGUGGUAUUUAUAAUUAUAAAAGAAAUGAAUUUCAUCUAGCCAUAUACAUUUCACUUAGAAUUGAAGUUUACUUGUGUUUUUAAUUAUAUUUAACAGCAAGUUUAAAUCAGUAGUAAAUGAACAUUCUAGGAGGUCUAACAAGACAUGUACAUUGAAAAAAUUAUAUAGGGUAGAAAGUGGACAAGCUGAAGAGACUGCUAAGAGGUAAUGUUUUUGGCAUUCACAAAAGGGGAAUUGUCAGUGCAAAGAGAGGUGAAGGACGAGCUGGAGAUUAAGAUGGAGAUGGUGGGGGUCAGAUCUUAAUAUUGAUGUUUUCUGUGUAGAUUUUAAAGCUACCGUCUUAGAUAUGAUAUAGGAGCUUCUAUAAGGGAAAGAUACUCAGCUAGGCAAGCAUUUGCAGAAACAACACAUUCCUUGUUGAUAAAAGUUCAGAUUUGGGGAUUUACCUACAUUACAGUCCUGGUUCUAGAGAUUAUUAGCCAUAUACUGUGGCUGAGCUAUUUGUUAGUUUUAGACCACAUCUGGGACUGGUGAGAUGGAUCAGUGGGUAAAGGUACCUGCUGCAAGGCUGAUGACUGGAGUUCCAUUCCUGGAAACCACAUGAUGGAAGGAAAGAACUGAUACCUGCAAGUUGUAUUCUGACCGUCACACAUUCUGUAAAACACCCAUGUGCACUACACGUGCGCACACACACCACACACACACCACACACACAUACACACACGCACACACAUUUAAUAAAUGAAAAAACACAACCCUAGAUCUGCUAUGUAUGAAUUAGGCUAAGUGAGAUAAUUAGAUGAAGUGUCUGUAUCACAUAUUCUAUAGAUGUUUGCAAUAUAGGUAAGUUAGUCUUUAAUUUAUUUUUAUUAAGUUUAUGUUUGUGUGGGUGUUCAUGUUUGUGUCCCUAGGUGUACCACAUAAGUGCCAGUGUCUGUAGAGGGUAGAGAUUAGAAGAUAGGCAGAGUCAAAGGUAGUUGUGAGUGACUUGAUAGGAGAGAUAGAUAAAAGACACAAUAGAACCAUAAAGCCAGUUAAUCCCAUGAGUAAGAAGUCAAAAUGCGGAAGCUUUGGCUUUUACAAUCACCUUAAGAUUUAUAUUAAAACUAUUAAAGUUGAUGACAUUGUUUCCUUUUUGUUACAGUUUUCAAUUUGACCAACAAUGUGGAUUUGGAGAACACUAAAAAGAAAAUGGAAAUAUAUC